GAUGAACGCUGGCGGCGUGCCUUAGGCAUGCAAGUCAAGGGGGUUCGUGCAUUGCAGAACAACCGGCGGAAGGGUGAGUAACACGUAGGAACGUACCCAAUGGUGGAGGAUAGCUUACCGAAAGGUGAGGUAAUACUCCGUAAUCCCGCAAGGGAAGUAGGGCGUUAACCGCCCGCCGAUGGAGCGGCCUGCGUCCUAUCAGUUUGUUGGUGGGGUAAUGGCCUACCAAGACUAUGACGGGUAGCUGGGCUGAGAGGUCGGCCAGCCACCAAUGGAACUGAGACACGGUCCAUACAUCUACGGAUGGCAGCAACCGGGAAUCUUGGACAAUGGGGGAAACCCUGAUCCAGCGACGCCGCGUGAAGGAAG
rnacentral:rRNA from 1 species